AUUGAACGCUGGCGGCAUGCUUUACACAUGCAAGUCGAACGGCAGCACGGGUGCUUGCACCUGGUGGCGAGUGGCGGACGGGUGAGUAAUACAUCGGAACGUAUCCAGAAGAGGGGGAUAACGCAUCGAAAGAUGUGCUAAUACCGCAUACGAACUGAGGUUGAAAGCAGGGGAUCGCAAGACCUUGCGCUGAUGGAUGAGCCGAAGUCGGAUUAGCUUGUUGGUGGGGUAAUGGCCUACCAAGGCGACGAUCCGUAGCUGGUCUGAGAGGACGACCAGCCACACUGGGACUGAGACACGGCCCAGACUCCUACGGGAGGCAGCAGUGGGGAAUAUUGGACAAUGGGGGCAACCCUGAUCCAGCGACGCCGCGUGUGUGAAGAAGGCCUGCGGGUUGUAAAGCACUUUUAGUGGGGAGGAAGGUCUGCGACCUAACACGUCGUGGAAUUGACUUAACCCACAGAAAAAGCACCGGCU
rnacentral:rRNA from 1 species